AACGAACGCUGGCGGCAUGCCUAACACAUGCAAGUCGAACGAGACCUUCGGGUCUAGUGGCGCACGGGUGCGUAACGCGUGGGAACCUGCCCUUAGGUUCGGAAUAACUCCCCGAAAGGGGUGCUAAUACCGGAUAAUUUCUUCGGACCAAAGAUUUAUCGCCUUUGGAUGGGCCCGCGUUGGAUUAGCUAGUUGGUAGGGUAAAAGCCUACCAAGGCUACGAUCCAUAGCUGGUCUGAGAGGAUGAUCAGCCACACUGGGACUGAGACACGGCCCAGACUCCUACGGGAAGCAGCAGUGGGGAAUAUUGGACAAUGGGCGAAAGCCUGAUCCAGCAAUGCCGCGUGAGUGAUGAAGGCCUUAGGGUUGUAAAGCUCUUUUACCCGGGAUGAUAAUGACAGUACCGGGAGAAUAAGCUCCGGCUAACUCCGUG
rnacentral:rRNA from 1 species